rnacentral:rRNA from 1 species
UGGGGAAUCUUGCGCAAUGGGCGAAAGCCUGACGCAGCAACGCCGCGUGUGUGAUGAAGGUCUUCGGAUCGUAAAGCACUGUCCCGAGGGACGAAUAAGGGACGGGCGAACAGUCCGUUUCGAUGACGGUACCUCGAGAGGAAGCACCGGCUAACUCUGUGCCAGCAGCCGCGGUAAUACAGAGGGUGCCAGCGUUGUUCGGAAUUAUUGAGCGUAAAGCGCGUGUAGGCGGCCUAGCAAGUCGGAUGUGAAAGCCCUAGGCUUAACCGAGGAAGUGCGUUCGAAACUAAUGGGCUUGAGUACCGGAGAGGGUGGCGGAAUUCCCGGUGUAGAGGUGAAAUUCGUAGAUAUCGGGAGGAACACCAGUGGCGAAGGCGGCCACCUGGACGGAUACUGACGCUGAGACGCGAAAGCGUGGGUAGCAAACA